UCCCAGACUCCUACGGGAGGCAGCAGUGGGGGAUAUUGCACAAUGGGGGGAACCCUGAUGCAGCGACGCCGCGUGGGUGAAGGAGUGCUUCGGCAUGUAAAGCCCUAUCGGCAGGGAAGAAGCAAGACGGUACCUGACUAAGAAGCCCCGGCUAACUACGUGCCAGCAGCCGCGGGAAUACGUAGGGGGCGAGCGUUAUCCGGAUUCACUGGGUGUAAAGGGAGCGUAGACGGCCAGACAAGUCUGAAGUGAAAAUCCAGCGCUUAACGUUGGAAGUGCUUUGGAAACUGCCGGGCUGGAGUGCAGGAGGGGCAGGCGGAAUUCCUAGUGUAGCGGUGAAAUGCGUAGAUAUUAGGAGGAACACCAGUGGCGAAGGCGGCCUGCUGGACUGCAACUGACGUUGAGGCUCGAAGGCGUGGGGAGCAAACAGGAUUAGAUACCCCUGUAA
rnacentral:rRNA from 1 species